GACGAACGCUGGCGGCGUGCUUAACACAUGCAAGUCGAACGGAAAGGCCCUGCUUUUGUGGGGUGCUCGAGUGGCGAACGGGUGAGUAACACGUGAGUAACCUGCCCUUGACUUUGGGAUAACUUCAGGAAACUGGGGCUAAUACCGGAUAGGAUCUCCUGCUGCAUGGUGGGGGUUGGAAAGUUUCGGCGGUGGUGGAUGGACUCGCGGCUUAUCAGCUUGUUGGUGGGGUAGUGGCUUUCCAAGGCUUUGACGGGUAGCCGGCCUGAGAGGGUGACCGGCCACAUUGGGACUGAGAUACGGCCCAGACUCCUACGGGAGGCAGCGGUGGGGAAUAUUGCACAAUGGGCGGAAGCCUGAUGCAGCAACGCCGCGUGCGGGAUGACGGCCUUCGGGUUGUAAACCGCUUUCGCCUGUGACGAAGCGUGAGUGACGGUAAUGGGUAAAGAAGCACCGGCUAACUACGUG
rnacentral:rRNA from 1 species